rnacentral:rRNA from 1 species
AGAGUUUGAUCAUGGCUCAGAUUGAACGCUGGCGGCAUGCCUUACACAUGCAAGUCGAACGGCAGCACGGACUUCGGUCGGGUGGCGAGUGGCGAACGGGUGAGUAAUACAUCGGAACGUGUCCUGGAGUGGGGGAUAGCCCGGCGAAAGCCGGAUUAAUACCGCAUACGCUCUGAGGAGGAAAGCGGGGGAUCUUCGGACCUCGCGCUCAAGGGGCGGCCGAUGGCAGAUUAGCUAGUUGGUGGGGUAAAGGCCUACCAAGGCGACGAUCUGUAGCUGGUCUGAGAGGACGACCAGCCACACUGGGACUGAGACACGGCCCAGACUCCUACGGGAGGCAGCAGUGGGGAAUUUUGGACAAUGGGCGCAAGCCUGAUCCAGCAAUGCCGCGUGUGUGAAGAAGGCCUUCGGGUUGUAAAGCACUUUUGUCCGGAAAGAAAACCUUUGCCCUAAUACGGCAGGGGGAUGACGGUACCGGAAGAAUAAGCACCGGCUAACUACGUGCCAGCAGCCGCGGUAAUACGUAGGGUGCAAGCGUUAAUCGGAAUUACUGGGCGUAAAGCGUGCGCAGGCGGUCCGUUAAGACAGAUGUGAAAUCCCCGGGCUUAACCUGGGAACUGCAUUUGUGACUGGCGGACUCGAGUAUGGCAGAGGGGGGUAGAAUUCCACGUAGCAGUGAAAUGCGUAGAGAUGUGGAGGAAUACCGAUGGCGAAGGCAGCCCCCUGGGCCAAUACUGACGCUCAUGCACGAAAGCGUGGGGAGCAAACAGGAUUAGAUACCCUAGUAGUCC